rnacentral:rRNA from 1 species
CCCUUAGAUGUUCUGGGCUGCACGCGCGCUACACUGAUGCGCUCAACGAGUUUUAACCUUGCCUGGAAAGGUUGGGUAAUCUUUUUAAAACGCAUCGUGAUGGGGAUAGAUUAUUGCAAUUAUUAAUCUUCAACGAGGAAUUCCUAGUAAGCGCGAGUCAUCAGCUCGUGCUGAUUACGUCCCUGCCCUUUGUACACACCGCCCGUCGCUCCUACCGAUUGAAUGUUCCGGUGAGCUCUUCGGACUGCGCGGUCUGCAGUUUCUGCGUUCCGUGCGGAAAGUUGCGCAAACCUUAACAUUUAGAGGAAGGAGAAGUCGUAACA